AUGAACGCUAGCGACAGGCUUAACACAUGCAAGUCGAGGGGCAGCACAGGUAGCAAUACCGGGUGGCGACCGGCGCACGGGUGAGUAACGCGUAUGCAACUUGCCUAUCAGAGGGGGAUAACCCGGCGAAAGUCGGACUAAUACCGCAUGAAGCAGGGGCCCCGCAUGGGGAUAUUUGCUAAAGAUUCAUCGCUGAUAGAUAGGCAUGCGUUCCAUUAGGCAGUUGGCGGGGUAACGGCCCACCAAACCGACGAUGGAUAGGGGUUCUGAGAGGAAGGUCCCCCACAUUGGUACUGAGACACGGACCAAACUCCUACGGGAGGCAGCAGUGAGGAAUAUUGGUCAAUGGCCGAGAGGCUGAACCAGCCAAGUCGCGUGAGGGAUGAAGGUUCUAUGGAUCGUAAACCUCUUUUAUAAGGGAAUAAAGUGCGGGACGUGUCCCGUUUUGUAUGUACCUUAUGAAUAAGGAUCGGCUAACUCCGUGCCAGCAGCCGCGGUAAUACGGAGGAUCCGAGCGUUAUCCGGAUUUAUUGGGUUUAAAGGGUGCGUAGGCGGCCUUUUAAGUCAGCGGUGAAAGUCUGUGGCUCAACCAUAGAAUUGCCGUUGAAACUGGGGGGCUUGAGUAUGUUUGAGGCAGGCGGAAUGCGUGGUGUAGCGGUGAAAUGCAUAGAUAUCACGCAGAACCCCGAUUGCGAAGGCAGCCUGCCAAGCCAUUACUGACGCUGAUGCACGAAAGCGUGGGGAUCAAACAGGAUUAGAUACCCUGGUAGUCCACGCAGUAAACGAUGAUCACUAGCUGUUUGCGAUACACUGUAAGCGGCACAGCGAAAGCGUUAAGUGAUCCACCUGGGGAGUACGCCGGCAACGGUGAAACUCAAAGGAAUUGACGGGGGCCCGCACAAGCGGAGGAACAUGUGGUUUAAUUCGAUGAUACGCGAGGAACCUUACCCGGGUUUGAACGCAUUCGGACCGAGGUGGAAACACCUUUUCUAGCAAUAGCCGUUUGCGAGGUGCUGCAUGGUUGUCGUCAGCUCGUGCCGUGAGGUGUCGGCUUAAGUGCCAUAACGAGCGCAACCCUUGCCACUAGUUACUAACAGGUAAAGCUGAGGACUCUGGUGGGACUGCCAGCGUAAGCUGCGAGGAAGGCGGGGAUGACGUCAAAUCAGCACGGCCCUUACAUCCGGGGCGACACACGUGUUACAAUGGCGUGGACAAAGGGAAGCCACCUGGCGACAGGGAGCGAAUCCCCAAACCACGUCUCAGUUCGGAUCGGAGUCUGCAACCCGACUCCGUGAAGCUGGAUUCGCUAGUAAUCGCGCAUCAGCCAUGGCGCGGUGAAUACGUUCCCGGGCCUUGUACACACCGCCCGUCAAGCCAUGGAAGCUGGGGGUGCCUGAAGUUCGUGACCGCAAGGAGCGACCUAGGGCAAAACCGGUGACUGGGGCU
rnacentral:rRNA from 1 species